rnacentral:rRNA from 1 species
UACGUAGGGUGCGAGCGUUGUCCGGAAUUAUUGGGCGUAAAGGGCUCGUAGGCGGUUUGUCGCGUCGGGAGUGAAAUCCACUGGCUUAACUGGUGGCUUGCUUUCGAUACGGGCAGACUGGAGGUAUGCAGGGGAGAACGGAAUUCCUGGUGUAGCGGUGAAAUGCGCAGAUAUCAGGAGGAACACCGGUGGCGAAGGCGGUUCUCUGGACGAUGUCCUGACGCUGAGGAGCGAAAGUGUGGGGAGCGAACAGG